rfam:Marchantia polymorpha subsp. polymorpha scaffold4295, whole genome shotgun sequence.
CCGACCUUAGCUCAGUUGGUAGAGCGGGAGACUGUAGUGUACACAGGCAUCUCUAGGUCGCUGGUUCGAAUCCGGCAGGUCGGA